GAGGGGCAGCAUGAUGAAAGUUUACUUUCAUUGAUGGCGACCGGCGCACGGGUGAGUAACGCGUAUGCAACCUACCUUAUACAGGGGGGAUAGCCCAUGGAAACGUGGAUUAACACCGCAUAACACUUAUUUAAGGCAUCUUAGAUAAGUUAAAUAUUUAUAGGUAUAAGAUGGGCAUGCGUCCUAUUAGUUAGUUGGUGAGGUAACGGCUCACCAAGACGAUGAUAGGUAGGGGUUCUGAGAGGAAGGUCCCCCACACUGGUACUGAGACACGGACCAGACUCCUACGGGAGGCAGCAGUGAGGAAUAUUGGUCAAUGGACGCAAGUCUGAACCAGCCAAGUCGCGUGAAGGAAGACGGUUCUAUGGAUUGUAAACUUCUUUUAUUUGGGAAGAAUAAGUGGUACGUGUACCACGAUGCCUGUACCAAAUGAAUAAGCAUCGGCUAACUCCGUGCCAGCAGCCGCGGUAAUACGGAGGAUGCGAGCGUUAUCCGGAUUUAUUGGGUUUAAAGGGUGCGUAGGUGGUUUGUUUAGUUAGUGGUUAAAUGUCUG
rnacentral:rRNA from 1 species